UUUCCGUAGGUGAACCUGCGGAAGGAUCAUUAAUAAAUAAAGAUAGAAUGAAAAUUGAAUUCUAUCUUAAUAAUAAUCCUACCCUUUGUGAAUUUGUUUGUUUGAAAUAAUUUUUUAAAGAAAAUUAUUUAUAGUUUGUCUAUCCCUGAGAUGAUGGUUGUUGUAAAAGACAAUUUGAAGUCUUAGGGAAUAGGCUUUAUAAAUAAUUUAUUUAAAGACCUUUUUUUAAAUUAAACUUUUUGUAUUCAUUUGUCUAAAAUUUAUUUUUAAUAAUUUAAAAACAACUUUUGACAAUGGAUCUCUUGGUUCUCGCAACGAUGAAGAACGCAGCAAAAUGCGAUAAGUAAUGUGAAUUGCAGAAUACGUGAAUCAUCAAAUCUUCGAACGCCAUAUUGCACUUUUCUAGUUUACUAGAAAAGUAUGUCUGUUUGGGUAUCAGUAAAAUAUUCUCAUAAAAAUUAUUAUUUUUAUGGUUCUGAGUGUUUUACAACGAUACAAGUUGUUUCACUUUAAAUUGACUUUAUUGCCUAUCUAAUUAGGUCAAUUUUAAAAUUGGAUAAAAUUUUCCCGUAAAAAGGAAUAACUUGACAGUUUUAAAAUAAUCUAAUUAAAUGCCUUUUGUAAAAGGAAAUUUUAUUUAAAUAACUUGAUUCAAAAUCAAGAUAGAGUAACCCGCUGAACUUAAGCAUCAUCAAUAAGCGGAGGAAAAGAAACUAACAAGGAUUCCCUUAGUAACGGCGAGUGAAGCGGGAAAGCUCAAAUUUGAAAUCUUCAAGGUUUACCUUGACGAAUUGUAAGUUUAUAGAAGUGUUUUCUGGUUAGUAGAGUGGCAAAAGUUCUUUGGAAUAGGACAUCAUAGAGGGUGAGAAUCCCGUAUUUGAUCAUUCUUUCUAGCUUUGUGAUACACUUUCAAAGAGUCGGAUUGUUUGGGAAUGCAGUCCAAAAAUGGGUGGUAAAUUUCAUCUAAAGCUAGAUAUUGGCGUAGAGAGCGAUAGCGAACAAGUACCGUGAGGGAAGAUGAAAGAGACUUUGAAAAGAGAGUUAAACAGUACGUGAAAUUGUCAAAAGGGAAGCGUUUGACACCAGUGUUGUUUUUUCUUCGAAAAUCAAUUAAGAAUGUUUUAUUGUUGAGGAGUUAUGACUUCAUCGGCUUGCUCCUUU
rnacentral:misc_RNA from 1 species